UGUCGUAAAAGGGGACGCGGAGGAGAAGGAAAGUCGCUCAAGCAGUGGACAGAGCGGAGAAAGCGACUUCGGCCGCAGAGAGAAGAAGCUGCCCAAGAAUGGAAAGGAAGAAAUAUAUCACAUCAUCUGUCUGUCCACAGGCUUUCCUUGGGGCUUAUGAAGUGAAUGAAGGAGGGAAGAAAGGAGAGACAGAGAGAAUGUGGAUUUCCUCAUGGCUGUGAUUCUUCUUCACUCUUUUGAAUUUGGAAGGAUGGCAUACACAUCUGAAAAGUAGUAAGUAAUGUGUGAUUUAUUUUUCAAUUACUAGUUAAUUGUAAUAAAGCUGAAAUUUGAUUACUGGAGGAGUUUGAAAUCAUCAUGCAUGCCUUGAAGGAAAAUGGGUUUUGUGCAACAUUUGCAUUAUUUGGUGUGGAUUACCUUUGGUUUGAUUUAACUGUUUAUCACACAAUUACUGUUGUGAUAAUGAAUGUGUUAUUCACUAUUGCUAAAUUUACCCAGUACAUUCUGUAAAAACUAAGUGUUUGUGCCAUAUAAUAUAUGCAUUCUUAGUACAGCAGUUUAAGAAACAAUGCAAAUAUUGCAGGGAGCUGUCUUUGGAGAUGCUAAGUUUUCUUGUUUUAUUUACCACACAAUCUUCCUCACACAUUUAUAGUUUUAAUUCAUAGUAAUAAUGUUUUCUAAGGACCUUUCUAUUUAUGCCUGAAAUGAAAUUCUAUAAAUUAUGUGAGCUUAUUUCUUUAAAAUGAAUAUCCAGAGAGAGGCAAGAAUUUUUCUGACAUUAUUAAACUGCAUUUUUAAUGCAGUUUAAGUGACAUUUCUUUUAAUCAAACAUUGUAAUUAAAAUAACAAAGCUUUCAUUAGAGACAUUUUUCUCAUUUGGGAAAGUGAAAAGUUCAUUUUUAGCCUCCUAAAAAUAAGACAGACUUAUGCUACCUGAAGACAUGAUACCUUGGAUUAGAGUACAUGCCACAAGUAUUUUUUAAAACAUAAAUUCAGCAUUGGCAUUUCUGAGUAACUACAGUGCAUAUUUUAAAUAAAUAAAUGCCUUAGAAUGAAGCAAUAUGGGGCAGACGUUCUGACGUCUCUGAGAUAGCUUGAACAGUAUUUGCAUUAGGGCUGGCACUGCUAGCAGAUCCUGAGAAUUUCAUGUAGGCAAACAUGAGAUCCUUGUUUCUGGAGACAAGAAAAAAACAAGAUUAAUUAAAACCAAGUCCUAUGUUGUUUAACCCUUAAAAUAACAGUCAGUAUUUAUAGAGAUGCUGAAAUGGGGAAUAGGAUUCAGAUUAUUUCACAAAGGUCUCUGCGAGGGCCAAACCCUCUCCCUUCUAACUAUUCCUCACAUCGAAUAUAAAUUCCUGGAAGUUUGUAUUUAAAAUGAAGUCUGUUUUCUAAGCUUUUGCAGCUGCAGGUCUCUGCCAACUUCCUACAUUUAUCUUUGCUUGUGUUUUCGAGCCAUUUGCUGCCUCCUAAUGCCUAACUUUAAAAUAGCAUGCAUGGCAGCCUGCCAAGACGGUGGCAGUGGCAUAUUGGUUUGUAUUGGUGUUGAAGUUGCAAAGUUUUUGUUACCGAUAAUUUGUAACAAUUGCAACAAAAGAGAUUAUUAAAACCUGAGGGGAUAGGAGACAGGAAGGAGAACAAAAUUGCUGCACUUCUUCAUGAAUCAAAGUGUGGUUCUUCCUGCAAAAGUGAAUUGGGUUGUUGUGUUGUCUACAUGGGUAUGAUGCUCUAGAUGACCUGCACAUUGUCACUGAGGUUAUUGCCUGUAAUCUUAGACUGAUAGAGAAGUGCAGUAUAAAAGAGGGUUUGUCUAGGGGAUGUAAUCAAUUAUACACAUUAUGCAAUUUUUUUUUUCUCAGGCUAUUGACUUAAUUCUUUUAUAUAAAUUAAGAUUGUUGUUAAGUUAAGGUUGUUCCUUUUUUUGUGUUUUAGUUCGUGAAAGAAAAAGUUUAUUAUUUAGGAGUGUCGUGGUUGUUUUGUUGUUAAUACAAAUUAGUACCUGGGAAAUAAUGCUUUGUCUUUUGCUUGCUAGUUUCAUGUCUAGUCAAUCUUGUAAGCCUUUUGCAAAAGUUCUCUUCUAUGUUUCCUUUAAGCACUUUUGGUAAAACUAGAGGUACUUUGUUUUGUUGCAGUUAUGAAAGAUCUCUGUGAAGACAGAGAAAUAGGUUAAGAAAUAGGUAAUUAGGCCCUAAAAUUAGCGAAGGUUCCUGCUUGCUCCACUUAUCAAGGAUUAGCUGUUCUGAAACUCUUGUUAGUAUAGCAAUCUACUAACAAGAAUAAUGUUUGUACCUACCCUGAGAGAAGAGAAAUCCUCUUUCUCUCAGCGUAGGUAUAAACAUUAAGCACCUGCAUUUUGGGGAGCUGGAGAGCUAAUUAUUUUCAAUUACCCAUUGGGACAAAGGAAACCAUCUCACACAUUUUGCUUGUGAACUUCAUAUUCUCAAGUAUAACAACUGAUAUGUUACACACUUUACUUUUUGCUAAGCCAAUACAAAAAUAAAAACAAAUCAACAAAAAUCAUUCCUGGAAAGUUUAGAAAUAUAGAUCCACAAAGAUGAUCCACAGAGAUACCUCGAAAUAUCUUUAAAACUUAUCAGAGGAAAGGAAAUGAGUGACACAUUUGUAAAGACUCUAAGCAUCUGAGAUUGACUUUAAAGUUCUGUUUUUCUUCUAGUAAAAUUAAAACUUUAUUGUGCUUCAUGUCAGAAACUUGGAGCCGCUUUUCCAUUACAGUGAUGCUAUUGAGGUUUCAAUGCUUUCAGGGCCUACUAAUAGAACCCAAAAGUGGAGAGAAGGCUCAUGAAGCACCGUUCCUCUCUGGGUGGAGGUCCUGGUCCCUGCUUAAGCCCUGCCAGUAGAAGCUAUUACCUAAAAGGUGUUCUUUUAUUGUCUUAGGCAGGACAUGCCCAUGCUUUGACAUACCAGCAGGCAAUAACAGAUUGCUUGACUAAUCAAUCUGCAUUCUCUAGGGUUCAGGAUGCAGGAAAGUAUUUGGCCUGGUUUUCACUCCAGCUUUAUAUUGAUGCCUCUGGACUCAUUACCAGCAUCUUUGCACUUUGCUUUCCUCAGGUGUCAAAAGAGAAUGUUAUAUGUCCUUUGCUUGUUUCUUGUCUUGCCUUCUAUGGGCUGGGCAGACAUACUGGGAUAUACUUUUUGGCACAAAUAUGAUGGUCGGUCUAGUUAGCUUAGCUGGUGAUGACAUAAUGACAAAGAAGACAAGACCAACACACACUGAUGUCACUCCUAACCCCAGAUGAGAGCCAACUUUAGAUGACAAAGGGGAUAAAGCAGAUAUUGAUCAAUGCCCAGACCAUUCCAGUUAUUCGUCAGACAACCCUCAGCAUGGCAGCAGCAGCAUCCAAAAGGGAGAAAAAUGUGCCAACUCCCAUCAUGUCUUAAAAUUCAGAAUGGGGAAACUGGGAGCAUAGUAAACAGAAAAAAAUCUAUUUUGUAGCACCACCUUUUACAAGCAUUUUGGUACGUGUUAUAAUACAAUACAGUAGAUAUAAAUAAUGUCCAGAUAAUUAAGAAUAGAGAAAAUAUAAAUUGGUUUGAGACUUAGGAGGGAAAAGAACAACACAAAUAUGAAGACCAUAUUUUUUUACAUUUUUAACAUUUUUUUGAGUCAUAGACUUGGCUCAAGGCUUUUAACAGCUAAAACAAAAGUGGAAAAAAGUCAUCUAGAGGAUGACUUCCAUAUAGUGAGCAUUUUAUACAGCCCUAAUGGUUACAACAACCUCAAAGCCAUCUAUUGUUACCCUUGUUUUCUGGUGGAAAAAAUGCAGAAUCAGAAGGAUUCAGUUACCAGGUGCUGGUUACACAGGCAACAUAUGCCUCUGUGGGAUUAAAUUCAGGUCUCUCUCACUCUCAUAGCAUUGACUUCCUUUGGGUAACGUAAAAGUCAGCUGUUCCUGCAGUCUCCUGCACAUGCAUACCCUAUUUCCGUGAUUGCCCAAGGCCAAUCCAGAAUCACGGAUGUCAGGUCUUCACUGAAGUUCUCUAAUGGAAUCUCCUUUCACAGAAGAGUGAGUGGGCAAUGUGGACUUUACUGAGUGGGAAGUGGAGAGGAUGAGCUUUGCAUAUCCCACAUCAAGCCACUUAAACAUUCCUAUUAAACAUUCUGGUCUGCAAAGUACCUUUUCCAUUUGCUAAAAUUGGAGGUUCCUCUCUUUGAUGCUUCCUUCAUGUUCCACCCAGCUUCCCUAGCUGCUUUCUUCUAUUCCUGCGUCACCCUUCCCUAGCUGCUUUCUUCUAUCCCUGCGUCCCCCUUUCUCUCCUCAUUAAAACAUAAUAGGGAGCAAUAUGGUUUUGCCCCAGCUUCUAAAACUAAGCUUGCAUGUCUAAACCCAGUGCCAUGCUUAACACACCUCCAAAACCCUUCUCUGUGAUAGUUCUUACUUUACUUAGUAGAAAUGAGGAUGAUGUAGCAAUUGAAAUAAUCCCAUUGCACAUUUUACUUUGGGGAAAAACAUACCAGUCUCUUGGCUUUUGAGGCAUUUAGUUUUGAAAAAAUAUUCUUCAGUGGGAUGUCAAGGAGGAUUCAGGGGACAGUGUCUCCAUCAACAGGCAUUACAGAAAAUGUCAUUACUCUUUUGCUACCCCCCGAUGACUGAAUUCAAGGUGCCACAGGAAAAAAAUCUUAGAACAUGUUAGUGUAUACGGGGCCACAACCACAUAAUUAAAGGAUAGCUUUAAAUAGAAAAUUAAGGAUGGAGGGAGGGGUGAAGCUAAGAAUGAGAAAAGAAAUAAAGGAGACUUACCUAUUAAUAGAAUGCUAGAAAUGAAUUUGAGUCUCCCUUUCAGUAUGUACAAUAAUUUCAUUGUAUACUAUAUAGAAAACUAUAUCCUAUAUUUACAUAUUAAAUAAACAAAGUUGAUAUUAUUUAAAUGAUAAUAGAAUGCCGAUGCCUAUAAAGGGAAAGACAGGCCAGAGACCCUGAAGAAUGGAAACCAAGCCUUCUUCAGGCUUAAUAUCACAAAGGUUUAGACUGUGAUAAUACACAUUAAAUCAUGUGAUUAGGUAGUAGGGCAUUUAUCAGUUCGGUUUCUAUGUACUCUUUUAAAAAAAUUGAAAAGAGAAGAAUCAACUGUAAUAGCUCAACAUAUAUGAUUUGUUUUAAGUUUGAGGCAUGGAGUGAAAACUGAGAAGAAACAUUUUAUAAAACCUUUUGAAACCCCAGGUUUAGAAAGCCUUCAGAUUCAUUUGUCUGCACUCAGGUGUAUUUUCUGCAUAGGUUUCCUUUUAAAUUACUCAGGUCUUUACUUCUGCUUUUUGGCUUAAACAGCUGAUGUUAUAUGGUUCUUGGAGCCUUGAACUUGAUUGUCAGCCAGUGUAGCUCUUUUAGGAGAGGAUGUCAAAUCUGCCAGCCAUCCAAAAUUGCCUACAUUGUCAUUGCUCUAAUGAGUAUGUCCUUCAAGAAUCAAUUGGAGGCUAAAAAUAAAUGCCUUUUGAUGUUUACAGACUCCUUAUAAAGUGCUCUGAAACCAAUAUGAAAGAUUAUAAUUUUUCUCUCUCACUAAGACAGUUACAAGAACAGAUUUAAUAAUAUAUAUUUUCUUUUGUCAGAAGAACAAGCUCUCUUAACAAAUAUAUGCUAGAUCAUUAGGGGUGAAAAGACAUGGGCACAGUGACAAAAGUGUGCUAUGAAAAGUAAAACAUAGCUAUUUCCAAUUUCUUUUAUAAACUGAAGGGUAAAGUACUUCAUCCAGCGGAAUCAUUUAGUACCUUAAUAGUUCAAAGGUAGAAGCCAGCAGGACUCAGUGAAAUGAAGAUGUGAGCACAAGAAAAAUUGUGCUCCUCCAGCCUUGCUGUGCAGAAAGUUUGAAAUUUGGCCACAGGUCGCGCAGAAAUUCAGGAUUUCUUUCAUCUGCUGGGUAAGUCAGCUCUGGAAAUAUGGCUCCUUAAGCACACAGCAGAGCCCUUUCCUGUCAAGCCUGCUUGGAUGACUCCUCUGAAACAACUUGGUUUAAAAAAAAUAUGGGGGCUACUAGGCAUGGCCAAAGAGAAAGUCACUUCUAUUUCCUCACAGAAAAUUCAAAACUAGACAACUACUUUUCUGGCAAAAAAAAA